rnacentral:tRNA from 1 species
GUGAUUGUAGCUCAGUUGGUUAGAGCGCUAGUUUGUGGCACUAGAGGUCAUGGGUUCGAUCCCCAUCAUUCACC